rnacentral:rRNA from 1 species
AACGAACGCUGGCGGCAUGCCUAACACAUGCAAGUCGAACGAGACCUUCGGGUCUAGUGGCGCACGGGUGCGUAACGCGUGGGAACCUGCCCUUAGGUUCGGAAUAACUCCCCGAAAGGGGUGCUAAUACCGGAUAAUGUCUUCGGACCAAAGAUUUAUCGCCUUUGGAUGGGCCCGCGUUGGAUUAGCGAGUUGGUAGGGUAAAAGCCUACCAAGGCGACGAUCCAUAGCUGGUCUGAGAGGAUGAUCAGCCACACUGGGACUGAGACACGGCCCAGACUCCUACGGGAGGCAGCAGUGGGGAAUAUUGGACAAUGGGCGAAAGCCUGAUCCAGCAAUGCCGCGUGAGUGAUGAAGGCCUUAGGGUUGUAAAGCUCUUUUACCCGGGAUGAUAAUGACAGUACCGGGAGAAUAAGCACCGGCUAACUCCGUG